CCCUUGUCAGCUCACCGGGUGUCCUGGCAGAGGCGUUUAAUUGCCAUUAAGCAGAGCAGUUGUGACCCUACCCAGAAGCUGUCAAGCCAAGAAGAGAAGCAGGUUGUCACCUGCCUGUGCUGGCCUGCACCACUGCAGCCAUUGUGUGGCAGCGGAGAUCGAGGUGUUGUCUACUGAUGCCAUCCCUGGAGCUUUCUUAUUUCUAAUAAAGGUGUCCCUGCCAAAGGAGCUGUAACGGGAAAUCAAGGUGCUCUCUGCGUGUCUCUUGAUCUCUGCCAGACUUGAAGAACCUGUAGUUCAUAGCACUGGAGGAGCAGCACAGGCAUCCUAUGGAAGAGACAACACUCUUUUGCUCUCUUUCAAAGACUGCAGUUUUUAAAGAAUUUCAUUGCUUUUCCAUUUGACUUGGGCUCGCACAGCCUCACUGAUGUUCUAGCCAUGAGUAAACCAGGGAUUGACUUGCUUUCUGCUGCUCUGCACUGUUUGUCUGACUGGGGAAUGAGAAGAAGGAAUAUGGCAGAUAGUUCUUGCUUUCCCAUUAAUCUGGCAAAGCCACACUCUACUAGUAGGUUACUCCAAAAUAGUUCAUGCUUUGUUCAGUGUGACUUUUGAACACAAUCAAGUGUGUCCA